rnacentral:lncRNA from 1 species
CGGGGGGCGGCUUCGCGGCCGGGACCUGAGGCGGCCGCGGUGCCCGGGCUCGCGGAACUGAGGGCGCCCAGCCUCGGGCCAGCGGCCGCCUCUCUGCGGGCGCCCCGCGCAGGGAAACCUGGCGGGCAGGCGGGCGGGCAGGGAAGGAAGAGGCGGUCCCGGGCUCCCACCGCGGGGCCCCACCGCCCGGCCUUCGCCCGCACCCCCAGGGCAGAAAGCUCAUUCUCAGGCCUCAAACAAAAGCCAGCUCUGAUCUAAGAGGACUGCGGGAAAUGCCCGCGGAACUUCACCAAACACUGGGUUCCCGGAAGGUAUGGAUCGUCCACUCAACGCUGCGAAAUCUGGGCCCCAUCACAUGACUUACUCCAGGAAGUGGGACACAAGCAAGCAUGAUGCGGGCAGAGGUUUCAUAACCUCUUCUCUGAGGCCUCUCUC